rnacentral:rRNA from 1 species
GACGAACGCUGGCGGCGUGCCUAAUACAUGCAAGUAGAACGCAGUUGCGUACGGGUGAUUAACGCGUCGGUAACUGCCUGGUAGCGGGGGCUAACUACUGGAAACGAUAGCUAAUACCGCAUACUACCAGAUGUACCUGCGUUGUAUUAGCUAGUUGGUGGGGUAACGGCCUACCAAGGCAACGAUACAUAGCCUGGCCGGGAGGGAGGUCGGCCAACACGGGACUUGGACACGGCCCAGACUCCUAAGGGAGGGCGGCAUAGGGAAACAUCGGAAAAUGGGCGAACCCUGACCGAAGAAAGCCGCGUGGUUGGAGAAGGUUUUCGGAUCGUAAAGCUCUGUUGUUAAGGAAGCGGUACUUAAACAGAAAGGGACGGCUAACUACGUGCCAGCAGCCGCGGUAAUAC